CUUUUUUUCUUUUCCUUUCCUUUCUUUUCUUUUCCAAACAGAGCUUAAACGUAGCCAAAACUCUAUCCAGGUUUACUCCGACCCACCGCAGACAGCUUCCUUUUGUUUAUCCACCUCACCUUAACUAUAUCCACUUCCUUAACCAUAGCCAGAACUGUAUCCACUCCAUUAAUCAACUGUUAAAGGAACGUUCUUUUCUUUCUACCCGCCGAGUCGCCGACGGUUUACCCAACGACUCCAACGUGGACGUCGACGCACCGUCGAACCCAGCUUUCCUUUCAAGCUUUCUCAGCCGGUAGAUUACUCCAACGCAGACGAUUCUCAACUGCAACGACGCUGGUGGAAAUUCUCAACUCCAAUGAUGCAGACGUCGACGCAAUCGAAUCUCGUUCCCGUCCUCUCACCUCCCUCUACCGCCUCAUCUCUAAUGGGCUGGGUAUUUAACUGGUGGUGAUGGGAGCUACAAUUAGUUGUUGACGGAGUUGAAUGGGGUCGGUCAGUGAUGUACCAGGUGUCAGUUGUUUGCAGUCGGAAAAUACUUCGCAAUUGAUUACGUUUUGGGGAUGUUGAUUAUGAUUGUGAUUGUAAUUAUAAUUGAUAAAAGCUGAUGGCAAAAUAAGCAAUUGAUGCUGAAUUUCCUGCUCAUAACAAGAAAAGAGUUCUCCUCUUCCUCUACUUUCAAUUUAUUUUUUUUUGCCAAGAAAAGACGGGAAAAAAAGACGAACAAGUUACAAGGGUAUUAAAGUCAGUUCAGCUUUACGUUAAAGGAGUUAUGGUUGCGAUUUGGUCAUUAAUAAAUCUCAGGAAGGUCAUUUUACCAAAAGGCCGAACCACAUGGAGGUAAUCCGUACUUUGCCCAAAGAUUUUUUGCUUCAUGAUGAUCCUUCUAUUUUUUUGGAACAUGGGUAGCACUUUAAUACCCAUUCAAAAAUGAGACGCUCGUACCCUUCAUGCUAGAAAAGAAUGACAUAACAAAAAAGGUGGAUGUAAUGUUUGGUAGUGUUUGCUCGCUACUGCGGCAUUCACUUGGAGUAUAUAUCACAAUGUUCCUUACGGGUUCGAAUGCAUGCCGAAGCUCCUAAGCGAAGUGCCAUUUUAGGUUAGCUGUAGGCAGCAAUUCAGCAGUGGCCGGGAAAGGGUGAGGUUUUAGGCUCAGUUAGAAAGGGAGAGGAAAUAAAGGUGAAGUGGUAUGGUUGUCUUCUAUUUUCUUUACGGUUUGUUUUCGGAACAUUUAGUAAGUGGAUCCAAUUACUAAUUUGUUCAACAAAAAUACUUUUGAGAUGGUAAUAAGAGAUGCUGUACUUAUGUGGAGUCACCUCCCUUCCUACAAGCAAUACAAAAAGCAAUUGAUGGUCUCAGCAUUACUAUGAAUACUUCAUAAUUUUUUCUCAUGUGAUUGGUGGAAUGAUUGUGUUGUUUUGAAUUCCAGGUUACAUUUCCUAGCUUGGAGAAUUUGGUAUGAUGUCUAUGAAGGUUGCAAAAGAACUCGGAGUCGAAGAUUGUGGGAGUUCAAGAUUCCUUCCAUGUCCGGAGUUCUUGUGAAUCUCUGAAAACCGAUAAUUAAAGAUUCCUCGAAGAUGUAAGCAUUAGGUCAGGAAAGAAAAAAUAGUAGUAGGACAAGGAAGAAAAAGUAUAUAAAACUAUUUUCCCUUAGUUGAUAGAAUUGCAACUUUGUCAUCUACCGAAUCUACAAAGGUUUUUUCCA